rnacentral:rRNA from 1 species
AACGAACGCUGGCGGCGCGCCUAAUACAUGCAAGUCGAGCGAGAAGACGUAGUAAUACGUUUGUAAAGCGGCGAACGGGUGAGGAAUACAUGGGGUAACCUACCCUCGAGUGGGGAAGUAACUAGCCGAAAGGUUAGCUAAUACCGCGUACGCUCCUUGGACUUCGGUUCAGGGAGGAAAGCGAUACCGUGGGGUAUCGCGCUCUUGGAUGGGCUCAUGUCCCUAUCAGCUUGUUGGUGAGGUAACGGCUCACCAAGGCUUCGACGGGUAGCUGGUCUGAGAGGACGAUCAGCCACACUGGCACUGCGACACGGGCCAGGACUCCUACGGGAGGCAGCAGUAAGGAAUAUUGCGCAAUGGGCGAAAGCCUGACGCAGCGACGCCGCGUGGGGGA